UACAGGGGGUGCAAACGUUGCUCGGAAUUAUUGGGCGUAAAGCGCGCGUAGGCGGCUACUUAAGUCGGAUGUGAAAGCCCUUGGCUCAACUGAGGAAGUGCACCCGAAACUGAGUGGCUUGAGUACUAAAGAGGGUCGCGGAAUUCCCGGUGUAGAGGUGAAAUUCGUAGAUAUCGGGAGGAACACCGGUGGCGAAGGCGGCGACCUGGGUAGAUACUGACGCUGAGGCGCGAAAGCAUGGGGAGCAAACAGG
rnacentral:rRNA from 1 species